CUAAUAAGCAUUACUGCACUCACUCUCCCUAAACUCUCCACCCCCUGCUGCGUUCCACAGUGCAGCUCUCUCUAACAUGCCAGGUCAAUGCUGAGAAGGAACUUAAACCACAAAGGACCAAAAAGCAAAUAUUUUUGCCCAGAGCUAAUGUAGCAAAUUACAUGCAAGACCUAAACUCCAAGAACCUUUUAAAUGGCAUGAGCCUACACAAACACGCGGUAUCCGGUUUGCCAAGGGUUGAAAACUAAAUUAAAUUUCAGUCAAGUUCUACUGGCGAUUUAUAGAACAGUUAAAGGACCAGGGAUCUGGUCUUGGCAGGGCCGCUGAUGUACAUGGUCUUCCAGACUCUGCCAGUGAAGUAAGGCCAAAAGAUUCAAGCAAAUAUGAAGCACGACUUCUCGGCCUCAGCCCACAAAGUCUUUUCUUGUGUUUUAGACAAAUUGAAUUAGAGAAAACAAAGUCCUGGCCAGACCUCUAUGCCCUAUGCCAAGGAACUGGAACUUGUCGAGCAACUAGGAACUUGAACUUCACCCUACAUACAAUACUAAAGAAGAAAUAUCAUGGCUGUCAAAUGAACAAAGUGUUGCUAAUACACCUCAAGAAAAGAUGUAACCAGAGAAGGAAAAUGUUGUCUAUAAAAAGUGAAAGAUGUGAGUUGUGCUUGGGAACACGACUCAGAGACUGCGUGGCUCUGACACAGGCAUCAGGCGUGUGCAGCUCCCCCGCAGUUUCCCACAGCUUCACCGUCAUCCACUCUCAUGUCCCUUCAGAGUGCUGCCCACUUCCCGCCCAGCAAAGGACUGCAUUACUCAGCACACAGCGACCCCUGACUCAGUCGAUGUGGGAGGAGAUCGUCAUCAAGGCUGAUCUCAUUUCUGUGUUGGCCAAUCAAGGUCUUCCCAGGACUUCAUCAGCAUGAGACCAGCUCCACCUCCACACCUAACACAGCAGGUCUCCUCCAAUUUCCCAAGAAUCCUCUCUGAAGUCUGGCAGACCUUGUAUUCAGCUGUAUAAAUGCUGCCUUCAUCAGCAACCAAGACUUCAUCUUCCCAGGCCCUCUUUGAGCCAGCCCCACCUACACCCAAUCCUGGCUGCUUGAAUUACAAACACACCUAGAGAAGGGCUUGUGACCCCUAGACCUGGCCCACCAGUGGCUUCUGCCAUCCAAAUACAGCUUGGCCCUGACAGGUACUUAGUAACCUGGUAUUUGUCCUUCAUCCACUCCCUGACUCCUUCCCCAGAACAACAGUUAAAGACCUUCUCACCUUGUCUUCAGCCCCAUUCCUGGUUGAAUAAUACCCUUCUCCUCCUUCACCGAAUAGCCAGAGCCCUUCUAGAGUCAACUUUGCUCUGAGGCCCCCUUUAUCUGCAUGCAUCCCUUUCUCCUGCCUCUCCCCCUUCCUUUCCCUUGUCUUAAGACCUAUUCCCCCUCAACAAUCCUCUACAAAUCCUGCCCUGGGUGUUUCCUUCCUCUGCUGAGGUCCUGAAGCACUUCUUAUUGGCAACCUUCAUUUGGCUUUGAAGGUACAUUGCCAAAUAUCCCUUAUCUUUUUUUUUUCCCUUUUCUUCUCUUCAUAUUUUAAAUUGCACAAACAACAGUCUGGCUCAUCUCUUUCUAUGCACAUAUCCUGUCUACCCAACCCAAUUGGGUGUCCUCCAAUGCUUUGUCCUUCCCAUCUGCUCAUCUCCCUCCUAAUGAUUCCCUUGGAGAGGGCUCAUCCACUUGCAGAGCACCAUGGAUACUACACAGAUUCUUGCCACCAAACCUUGUUCAAGCCCCCCUGGCCUUACCGGCCUUUCUCCUUCUCCCAAUUAAUCGAAAUCUGCACUCUUUCCUCAAGGCCACCUCACAUUCCAAUCAAGCCUUCUCCAACAAACACAGAUCCACAACUACCUGUUUCUCCUCUGACUUUCUAUAGAUAUUUUAAUGCUUAUAUAUAGUCUUGUUUUAUUGGACCUCCUUUUGGACCGUAAAUACAGUGAGAGUUUCCUGAGGACAACGACCAAGGCCUCAGCGUUGUGUUUCCCUAACAUGGUGCUAGGUAUUCUGAGGGUGCUUAUUCAUUACGUGCUAUCUAU
rnacentral:lncRNA from 1 species